ACCCCGUCGUCCUUCCGUUCCCCUCGUGAGAGACCUCGGUUCCUUAGCUGCGGACGCUUCAGUGCCGUAAAGCACACCAGGCCCCAGCCCCCCGGCCGUAUUCCCCCAGGGCGUCUGGCCGCCGCGGUUGCCACGGUGCCGCCAAGCGCGGCUGUCGCGCGGCCGCGGUAUCAGCGGCGAUGGCGGCGGGGUCGGGUGGGAGUGGGGGCUCUGGGGCGGGCCCCGGGCCAGGACCGGGGCCCGGCGGGGGUGGGGGCCCUGGCAGCAGCGGACCAGGCCUGGGGUCCGGCGGGGGUCUCGGCGGUGGCGGGGAGCUGCACCCGCGCACCGGGCGCUUGGUCAGCCUGUCGGCCUGCGGGCGCACGGCGCGGCGGCAGCAGCCGGGCCAAGAGUUUAACCACGGGCUGGUGCUGAGCCGAGAACCCUUGCGCGAUGGACGCGUCUUCACCGUCCGCAUCGACCGCAAGGUCAACUCCUGGAGUGGCUCCAUUGAGAUUGGAGUGACAGCACUGGAUCCCAGUGUGUUGGACUUCCCGAGCAGUGCCACCGGGCUGAAGGGAGGCUCCUGGGUAGUGUCAGGCUGCUCAGUGCUGCGGGACGGGCGCUCUGUGUUGGAGGAAUAUGGCCAGGACCUGGACCAGCUUGUCGAAGGGGACCGUGUGGGUGUGGAACGCACAGCCACUGGGGAGCUCCGGCUCUGGGUAAACGGGCGGGAUUGUGGUGUGGCAGCCACAGGCCUGCCUGCUCGUGUCUGGGCUGUUGUGGACCUUUAUGGCAAGUGCACCCAGAUCACUGUGCUGCCCUCCGAGCCAGGCUUCAGCCCUCCCACUCCUGUCCCCACACCUCCCCUUGAGCCCUUGGCCCCUCCAGAAGAUUCAGCCCUGUUGGAACAGGGGACCUCUGUGGAUGAAGCCUUCAUGGUGUCCCCAGCGCAGGCACGGCCGGAGACGUUUCCUAACAGCCUUGAUUCGCAUAAUGACUUUGCCAGUAUGGAGCUGUCUGAGGUGGUGAGCAACGCCAUCCUGUCUGCCUACAAUGGGGGCCUCCUUAAUGUGAGCCUGAGCUCCCCACCAGCAGGGGACGGACUGGCAUCCAGUGGGCCAGCCACUUCUCCCAUCCUCACUUCCAACGAUGCCCUGCUCUUCCAUGAGAAGUGUGGGACCCUCAUCAAACUCAGCAACAACAAUAAGACAGCAGAGCGCCGGAGGCCCCUGGAUGAAUUCAACAAUGGAGUUGUCAUGACCAACCGCCCACUUCGGGAUAAUGAAAUGUUUGAGAUCCGGAUCGACAAGCUUGUAGACAAGUGGUCUGGUUCCAUCGAGAUUGGUGUCACCACCCACAACCCCAAUAGCCUGGAGUACCCAGCCACCAUGACCAACCUGCAGUCAGGCACCAUCAUGAUGAGUGGCUGUGGGAUCCUGACCAACGGCAAAGGCACUCGGCGGGAGUACUGCGAGUUCAGUCUGGACGAGCUGCAGGAGGGUGACCAUAUUGGCCUCACGAGGAAGUCCAACUCUGCCCUACACUUCUUCAUUAAUGGCAUCGAUCAGGGCGUAGCUACUCCAUUGACACCACCAGUUGUAUAUGGUGUAGUAGACUUGUAUGGAAUGGCAGUGAAAGUGACCAUCGUCCAUAAUAACAACCACAGUGACCGUCUCCGCCGGAACAACGCUAUCCUGAGGGCUCUGUCCCCCGAGGGUGCUCUUCGUCGUGCUGCCCCUGCAGCCCAGGCAGAACCUGAACGCUUGCUCUUCCAUCCUAACUGUGGCCAGAAGGCAGCUAUCACCCACGAAGGACGCACUGCCCUGAGGCCCCAUGCCACUGAUGACUUCAAUCAUGGCGUGGUACUGAGCAGCAGAGCCCUCCGGGAUGGAGAGGUGUUCCAGGUGCGCAUUGACAAGAUGGUGGACAAAUGGGCUGGCUCCAUUGAGAUUGGUGUCACCACCCAUAACCCUGCCUACCUCCAGCUACCCUCUACUAUGACCAACUUACGCUCUGGGACCUGGAUGAUGACUGGGAAUGGGGUCAUGCACAAUGGGACAACCAUCCUAGAUGAAUAUGGGCACAACCUGGACCGCCUCAAGGCAGGGGACACCGUGGGUGUGGUGCGGCGGGAGGAUGGAACGCUCCACUUCUUCGUCAAUGGGAUGACUCAGGGCCCUGCUGCCUGGAAUGUCCCCCCGGGGGUCUAUGCUGUUGUUGAUCUCUACGGCCAGGCUGCCCAGGCUACUAUUGUGGAUGACGUGGAGGUGCCUCCAGUCUCUGAGCCACUCCCUGAAGGAAACAACCAGAUGUCUCCCAGUUCUCCAUCCUCAGCAGCUGGGGGCUCUGACCUUCGCUUCCACCAGCUGCACGGCAGUAAUGCAGUCAUCACCAAUGGUGGCCGCACUGCUCUCCGCCACAACUGCCGCAGCGAGUUCAACGAUGCCAUUGUCAUUUCCAACCGAGCCCUGCGGGAUGGAGAACUGUUUGAAAUUGUCAUUCAGAAGAUGGUAGAUCGUUGGUCAGGCUCCAUCGAAGCUGGAGUUACUGCUAUUCGGCCGGAAGACCUAGAAUUUCCCAACACCAUGACAGACAUUGACUAUGAUACGUGGAUGCUGAGUGGUACAGCUAUCAUGCAAGAUGGCAAUACGAUGCGCAACAACUAUGGGUGUGAUCUGGACGCGCUGGGCACAGGUGCACGAAUUGGCAUGAUGCGAACUGCCAAGGGUGAUCUGCACUAUUUCAUUAAUGGACAGGACCAAGGCGCUGCCUGCUCAGGCUUGCCUCCGGGUAAAGAGGUGUAUGCAGUUGUGGAUCUCUAUGGCCAGUGUGUCCAAGUGUCUAUCACCAAUGCUACCGGCCCCAUGGACAACAGCCUGGCCACCAGCAAUACUGCCACUGAGAAGUCAUUCCCCUUGCAUUCCCCAGUGGCGGGUGUGGCUCACCGAUUCCAUAGCAUGUGUGGCAAGAAUGUCACUCUGGAGGAGGAUGGCACACGGGCAGUCCGUGUGGCUGGCUACGCACAUGGCCUCGUUUUCAGCACCAAAGAGCUCAAGGCUGAAGAAGUUUUUGAGGUGAAAGUGGAAGAGCUAGACGAGAAGUGGGCAGGCUCCCUCCGGCUGGGGCUGACCACACUUGCACCAGAGGACAUGGGGCCUGGAGCGGGCAGUGGUCCAGGGCUGCCUCCUUCCUUGCCUGAACUCCGGACAAAGACCACCUGGAUGGUGUCCAGCUGUGAAGUGAGGCGUGAUGGGCACCUCCAAAGGAUGAACUAUGGCCGGAACCUCGAGAGACUAGGGGUGGGAAGCCGUGUGGGCAUUCGUCGGUGUGCAGAUGACACAAUGCACAUCUUGGUAGAUGGAGAAGAUAUGGGGCCUGCUGCCGCUGGCAUUGCCAAGAAUGUGUGGGCUGUGUUGGAUCUGUAUGGGCCAGUACGCAGUGUGGCCAUUGUCAGCUCCACAAGGCUGGAGGAACCAGAAGGCACCCAGCCGCCUUCUCCCAGCUCAGACACUGGCAGUGAGGUCGAGGAAGAUGAUGAGGUCGAGGAGCAGGGGCUGAGAGGCCAGAAUCAAGUGGGGAUUGUGCCCACAGCCCUUGAAUUCCUGGAGAACCAUGGGAAGAAUAUCCUCUUAUCCAACGGGAACCGCACAGCCACUCGGGUGGCCAGCUAUAACCAGGGCAUCGUUGUCAUCAGUCAGCCCCUGGUGCCCCAUAUGCUUGUUCAGGUGCGAAUAGACUUCCUGAACCGACAGUGGACAUCUUCUCUUGUUCUGGGAGUUAUCACCUGCCCACCUGAGAGGCUUAACUUCCCUGCCUCUGCUUGUGCCCUUAAACGGGCAGCCUGGCUCCUGCGGGGCCGGGGUGUCUUCCACAAUGGUCUGAAGGUCUUUCCUCUCAGAUCUGUGAGAAGUUUGGGCCAAAUCUUGACACCUGCCCUGAAGGCACCAUCCUGGGACUGCGGCUAGACUCCUCUGGAGGGCUUCAUCUCCACAUCAAUGGGGUGGACCAAGGGGUAGCUGUACCAGAUGUGCCCCAGCCAUGCCAUGCACUGGUGGACCUCUAUGGACAGUGUGAGCAGGUGACAAUUGUGAGCCCUGACCCAGGGACUGCCAGUGGGAAGAUUGCUGGAACUCAAGGGGACAUGGAAAAAGCUGAUAUGGUAGACGGUAUCAAGGAGAGUGUGUGCUGGGGUCCACCGCCUGCUGCUAGCCCUUUAAAGAGCUGCGAGUACCAUGCCCUUUGCUCCCGCUUCCAAGAACUGCUGUUGCUUCCUGAAGAUUAUUUCAUGCCUCCACCGAAGCGUAGCUUAUGCUACUGUGAAUCUUGCCGGAAGUUGCGAGGAGAUGAGGCCCACAGGCGCCGAGGAGAGCCUCCCCGGGAGUACGCCCUGCCUUUCGGAUGGUGCAGGUUCAACCUUAGGGUGAAUCCCCAUCUGGAAGCUGGCACACUAACAAAGAAGUGGCACAUGGCAUAUCAUGGAAGCAGUGUAGCUGUUGUGCGGAGAGUGCUGGACCGAGGGGAGUUGGGAGCAGGUACUACCUCCAUCCUGAGCUGCCGACCUUUGAAGGGAGAGCCUGGGGUGGGAUUUGAGGAGCCUGGUGAGAACUGUGCACCUCCCCGGGAAGAGCAGCCCCCUCCAGUGCUGCUCUCCCCCUCCCUUCAGUAUGCCGGGGCAGAGAUGCUGGCCUCCAAAGUGCAGUGAGUACAUGCCGGGAGCACUAGGGGCUCAGGGCUGUGCUCAGUCACCCACCGCACCCUUCCUGCCCUGCUUGUUCCUGGAUGCACCUUUACCUGUCACUGUUCCUCCUUCCCUCCCGUAAUACACACGCAUGCGCGCGCACACACACACAUAUGCACGCACACACACACAGAGGCACGGUUUCUCUAUGUAUCCCUGGCUGUCCUAGAACUCAUUCUGUAGACCAAGUUGGCCUUGAACCUAGAAAUUCUAAUUCCAGUGCUGGGAUUAAACACAUGGGCCACAGGGAAUCAGAUUCCAUUAUAGAUGGUUGUAAGCGGUGCUGGGAAUUGAACUCAGGACCUCUUGAAGAACAGCCAUCUCUCCAGCCCCUUUUGGUUUUUUUGUUUUUGUUUUUGUUUUUGUUUUUCUUAAAACAGGAUGUCAAGUAGUCCAAGCUGGCCUCACAUUCAUGUUUGGUUUGUAUCUGAAGCCGGCCUUGAACACUCAGUUCCUGGUUCCAUCUCCAUGCUGAGUGUGGAUUAGAUGAGUGCAUCUGUAGGCCUGUUUUUCUGAAUGUGUAUGGAUACCAAGUCUUUCAAAAUAUCCUGCACCAGGCAAUGGGUUUGACCCCUUGUACUACCUAAACUGUGCUUGCGCAUUGUAACAAAUUCCUGGAGUCCUAACACUAAGUGGCAGGGUCAGUGGGUCGGAAGUUUAAGGUUGUCCUUCCUUUAUAGGGAGGUUGACUCCAGCCUGGUAGAGACCCUAUACUGUCUCCCAAAAGUGGGUGAAGUAGAUGAGAAGUGCACUUGGAGUGUUUGGAAGACGUGAACUAGAGUGCCAGGGUAAAUAAACACAUGAAGAGUGCUGGGGAGGAGUUAGCUGAGCAGGCCAGGGGAGGAGAGUACUACAUACACAAUAGUUGGUGCUAAGCCAGUCACGGUGAACAGUAUUUCCCAGAAAACAGCAAGGCCUGGGUGGAGGGGGCAGAAUUAGCAGUCAUGGACCUUGGGAGCCUUACUCUUCUCUCGUUUCUGCUUGGCUAACAGAUUCCGGGACCCAAAAUCCCAGCGGACACACCAGGCUCAGGUGGCCUUUCAGGUGUGUGUGCGCCCUGGCUCCUAUACUCCUGGCCCUCCCUCUGCGGCCCUCAGAGAACUUCCUGACCAGCACUUCAGCCCAUCGGAACUUGAGUGGGUCACUAAGGAGAAGGGAGCCACACUCCUCUAUGCCCUGCUGGUACGAGUGGAAUAAGGGGUGACAUACCACUACUCCAAGCACAGCCGGGCCUCAAGCCCAGGACUCUUGAAUGACGACUGCCUCCACCUCAUUCCCGUGACUGAGAGCAUGUCCAGUGCUGUCCUGGCAAGGAGGAGCACGUAGGCAGGCUUUGAUUUAGAGCAGGUGUGAAGCACAUCUCUACAUUCAGGGCCCAGCACACUCCCUCUGCUGAGAGGGAGCCCAGCUCGUCUCGGGGUCCCCCCUUCAUGCACUGACUUGGGGAACAUGACUCCCUAUUAUUACCCUCCCCCAUAUCACUUAAUUUAUUUCCGUUUUUGUUUCUGGUUACUGUGAAUCCCAAAGGAGUCUCUCUGUGCCCACAUGAAGCUGCUUUUUCCGUGGCCACUGGGCGCCAUGGGGAGGGAGUGGGUAAAAGGAAGGGCUGCCCGAGGACGCUGUGGGCCUCUGUACAGUUGUUACUGACUCUGAUUUCUAAGGAGCCAAUAAAUACUGUCUUCAGAGCA